rnacentral:rRNA from 1 species
AGAGUUUGAUCCUGGCUCAGGAUGAACGCUGGCGGUAUGCUUAACACAUGCAAGUCGAACGGAUGUUUUCGGACAUUAGUGGCGGACGGGUGAGUAACGCGUGAGAAUCUAGCUUCAGGUUGGGGACAACAGUUGGAAACGACUGCUAAUACCGAAUAUGCCGAGAGGUGAAAGAUUAAUUGCCUGAAGAAGAGCUCGCGUCUGAUUAGCUAGUUGGUGGGGUAAGAGCUUACCAAGGCGACGAUCGGUAGCUGGUCUGAGAGGACGAUCAGCCACACUGGGACUGAGACACGGCCCAGACUCCUACGGGAGGCAGCAGUGGGGAAUUUUCCGCAAUGGGCGAAAGCCUGACGGAGCAAUACCGCGUGAGGGAAGAAGGCUCUUGGGUUGUAAACCUCUUUUCUUAGGGAAGAAAAAAAUGACGGUACCUAAGGAAUAAGCAUCGGCUAACUCCGUGCCAGCAGCCGCGGUAAUACGGAGGAUGCAAGCGUUAUCCGGAAUGAUUGGGCGUAAAGCGUCCGCAGGUGGUUUAUCAAGUUUGCGGUUAAAGGUUCUGGCUCAACCAGAGACAGGCCGUGAAAACUGAUAGACUAGAGUAUGGUAGGGGCAGAGGGAAUUCCCAGUGUAGCGGUGAAAUGCGUAGAGAUUGGGAAGAACACCGGUGGCGAAAGCGCUCUGCUAGGCCAAAACUGACACUGAGGGACGAAAGCUAGGGGAGCGAAUGGGAUUAGAUACCCCAGUAGUCCUAGCCGUAAGCGAUGGAUACUAGGUGUAGCUUGUAUCGACCCAAGCUGUGCCGUAGCUAACGCGUUAAGUA